rnacentral:rRNA from 1 species
UACAGAGGGGGCAAGCGUUGUUCGGAAUUACUGGGCGUAAAGGGCGCGUAGGCGGCCUGUUAAGUCGAACGUGAAAUCCCCGGGCUCAACCCGGGAACUGCGUCCGAUACUGGCAGGCUUGAAUCCGGGAGAGGGAUGUGGAAUUCCAGGUGUAGCGGUGAAAUGCGUAGAUAUCUGGAGGAACACCGGUGGCGAAGGCGGCCUUCUGGACAGCGACUGACGCUGAGACGCGAAAGCGUGGGGAGCAAACAGG